rnacentral:tRNA from 1 species
GGGCGGGUGGCGGAACCGGCAGACGCGCACGGCUUAGGACCGUGUGCCGAAAGGCAUGGGGGUUCAAGUCCCCCCCCGCCCA